rnacentral:rRNA from 1 species
AACGAACGCUGGCGGCGUGCCUAACACAUGCAAGUCGAGCGCGAAAAGGGCAACCUGAGUAGAGCGGCGCACGGGUGCGUAACACGUGGGUAAUCUGCCUCAAAGUUUGGGAUAACCUUCCGAAAGGUUGGCUAAUACCGGAUAAGCUCACGAGGUCUUCGGACUUUGUGGGAAAAGGUGGCCUCUGUUUACAAGCCAUCACUUUGUAGAUGAGCCCGCC